rnacentral:misc_RNA from 1 species
CAUCAACUUCAAAAUUUACAUCAGUUCCCCUUCCACUUUCUAAAAUCCUUCCAAAAUGAUGACCGAUAUCAGAGGGUGGCACUCCAAUGGCAUAGGUCUUUGGUCCCUCAGUCUGGGAUUUAACUACACCAACACAACAGCGAAUUACCAAGGUAUCAUCUUUGAGAUAAUCUGAUGUCUCUAGUUGAGUUCUUUUGAAAAAUCGUUUAUAGCCCCACAUACUGCCGCGAUAUUUCAGUGUGUAAGGCCCACUCUCAAGAGCUCUCCCGAAAUGGCUAUGAACCUUAUGGUUUUCUUUUCCACUCUGAUCCAUCAGCGAGAGCUCAAACAAUGCCCUCACGUCGGUGCCUUCGCUUGCGAGGGCUAUAAAUAAGGACACAUAGGCAGCGUUAUCUUCAGGGCUCUUUCCAUCAGGAUAAAAGUAGAUUGCCCACGCGUACCCACCAACAAUGAACGUAUCCGAUGCUGUGUACUUUCCAAUUCCGAUGCCCUUCGAUAAAGAGUAGCCGCCGAUUUUGAACUCGUGAGAUCCAUUUAU